rnacentral:rRNA from 1 species
UACAGAGGGGGCAAGCGUUGUUCGGAAUUACUGGGCGUAAAGGGCGCGUAGGCGGCCCGCUAAGUCGAACGUGAAAUCCCCAGGCUUAACCUGGGAACUGCGUCCGAUACUGGCAGGCUUGAAUCCGGGAGAGGGAUGUGGAAUUCCAGGUGUGGCGGCGAAAUGCGUAGAUAUCUGGAGGAACACCGGUGGCGAAGGCGGCAUCCUGGACCGGCAUUGACGCUGAGGCGCGAAAGCGUGGGGAGCAAACAGG